GACAGAGGGUGCAAACGUUGUUCGGAAUUACUGGGCGUAAAGGGCGCGUAGGCGGCGUGACAAGUCACUUGUGAAAUCUCCGGGCUUAACUCGGAACGGUCAAGUGAUACUGUCGUGCUAGAGUACAGAAGGGGCAACUGGAAUUCUCGGUGUAGCGGUGAAAUGCGUAGAUAUCGAGAGGAACACCUGCGGCGAAGGCGGGUUGCUGGGCUGAUACUGACGCUGAGGCGCGAAAGCCAGGGGAGCGAACGGG
rnacentral:rRNA from 1 species